GCCUCCGCCGCCUAACUUGUCCUUCUCCGCCCCUUCUCCAUCAAUGCUCACCACUCUCGGCCCCUUCACCUUCUCCGUCGCAACUUUCGCCACCGUCACCUUCAACACCCCGUCCUCCAUCCUCGCCUUCACAGACUCCAAAUCUGCAUUAUCCGGCAAACGGAACUGCCGCCAGAACUUCCCAUAGGCCCGCUCGAUGGUGUGCCACCGCUCGCCCUUCUUCUCCUCCUCCCGCUUCCGCUCGCCACUUAUCCGUAAAAUCCGGUUCUCCUCCACCUCUAUCUUCAGCUCCUCCCGCUUCAGCCCCGGCACGUCGAGGAUAAUCUCGUGGGAUGAAGGGGUUUCUUUCCAGUCGGCUCGGGCUGGGGAGAUUGCGGCGAGGUCGGCGCCGUCGAGGCCAAAGGGGAUGUGCUCGAGGAUGCGGAACGGGUCAAGCUCCGGUUGGUUGUCGCUGGGGCGGCCGAGGAAGGGAAGGAGGGAGGAGGAUGACGGUAGUGUUAGUGUAAGGAGGACGGUAACGGCGAAGAUGAUGGAGAGCUUCAUCGCUUGCUUCUU
rnacentral:misc_RNA from 1 species